GAAGGUAUAGCUCAGUGGCAGAGUAUGUGCCUAGCAUGUACAAGGUCUGGGGUUCAAUCCCUAGUACCUCCA
rfam:Camelus ferus unplaced genomic scaffold scaffold129, whole genome shotgun sequence.